rnacentral:rRNA from 1 species
AACGAACGUUGGCGGCGUGGAUUAGGCAUGCAAGUCGCGCGAAUCCCAGCAAUGGGGGAAGCGGCGUAAGGGGCAGUAAGGCGUGGGCAACCCACCCCCCGGUCCGGGAUAGCCCGUCGAGAGACGGGGUAAUACCGGGCGACACCAGCCUGAGGCAUCUCGGGUGGGCCAGAGGUCCGCCGCCGGGGGCGGGGCCCACGUGGUAUUAGCUAGUUGGUGGGGUGACGGCCCACCAAGGCGGAGAUGCCUAGCGGGUGUGAGAGCACGACCCGCGCCACUGGCACUGAGACACUGGCCAGACACCUACGGGUGGCUGCAGUCGAGGAUCUUCGGCAAUGGGGGCAACCCUGACCGAGCGACGCCGCGUGGGCGACGAAGGCCUUCGGGUUGUAAAGCCCUGUCGAGGGGGAGGAAAGCUUAACCGCUUGACCCAUCCCUGGAGGAAGCACGGGCUAAGUUCGUGCCAGCAGCCGCGGUAA